rnacentral:rRNA from 1 species
GAUGAACGCUGGCGGCGUGCCUAAUACAUGCAAGUCGAGCGAAGUUUUUCUGAUGCUUGCUUCGGAAAAACUUAGCGGCGAACGGGUGAGUCACAUGUAUAGAACAUGUAUAAUAGAGUGGGAAAAUCAUUGGAACGGAUAGCUAAUCCCGGAUAAUAGUAAAACCCAUAGGGUUGAUGUUUAAAAGUUGGUUUCGUUAACAUAUCGAGAUGGCUUUGCGGUGCAUUAGAUAGUUGGUGGGGUAAAGGCCUACCAAGGCGACGAUGCAUAGCCGACCUGAGAGGGUGAUCGGCCACACUGGAACUGAGACACGGCCCAGACUCCUACGGGAGGCAGCAGUAGGGAAUCUUCCGCAAUGGGCGAAAGCCUGACGGAGCAACGCCGCGUGAGUGAAGAAGGAUUUCGGUUCGUAAAGCUCUGUUAUUAGGGAAGAAUGAAUGUGUAGUAACUAUUCACAGUAUUGACGGUACCUAACCAGAAAGCCACGGCUAACUACGUG